rnacentral:rRNA from 1 species
AUUGAACGCUGGCGGCAGGCUUAACACAUGCAAGUCGUACGGUAACAGAGGGAAGCUUGCUUCUCUGCUGACGAGUGGCGGACGGGUGAGUAAUGUCUGGGAAGCUGCCUGCUUGAGGGGGAUAGCGGAGCGAAAGUUCCGAUAAUACCGCGUAAGCCCGAGAGGGGAAAGUGCGGGACCGUAAGGCCGCACGCGAGCAGAUGCGCCCAGAUGGGAUUAGGCAGUUGGGGAGGUAACGGCUCACCAAACCGAUGAUCUCUAGCUGGUUUGAGAGGACAAUCAGCCACAUUGGAAUUGAGAAACGGACCAAACUCCUACGGGAGGCAGCAGUGGGGAAUAUUGCACAAUGGGGGAAACCCUGAUGCAGCCAUGCCGCGUGUGUGAAGAAGGCCUUCGGGUUGUUAAAGGACACUUUUGCAUUCGAGGAAGACAGACGUAUAAAAUAAAUAGCGCUAUUUGACGUUAGAGUGUGAAUAAGCACCGGCAAACUCCGU